GCUUUUACUUGUGCUUUUGAGUAGCUACAGGCUUUUGUUGUCAAACAGAAAUAAUACCAAACCUCAGAGUAGAGGUUGGGAGGAAGAUUAGGUUUGCAUUUCUUGCAUUGCCCGUAGUGCUGGGGGGCUCUGCCCACCCCACAAUGCCUCCUUCUGGGGCCUCAGCUUGCAGGGUGUCACAGCCAGGUGCACCCUGUUUGUUUCAUGCAGUACAUCCCCACACUGACCCUGCUGCUUUGUCAUCCCAUUAAUCUUUUCCUUUUACAAUUGGAUGUGUGCUCCUUCCUUGUGGGGUGACAUUUGAAGAGCAGCCAGUGGGAUCAAUGAGAGAGGCAGGGCUGGGAGAAAGAGGUAAUCACUUUUACCAGCCCAUCUGACACAAGUGGAAACAAACAGCCACGCUUUCAGGUACACACAUCUUCUUCAGGGCUGUGACAAGGGAUGCUCCCUUGGCCCGAUCCCCAGGUGUUUAUCGUGGGCUGGGAAGCAGGAAGCCCCCCGGUGGAAGCAGGUGGCCAUGUGUACUUGCGUAAGGGUUGCUUACAUUACUCUGGGUCUCUAGGGGCUGUUGGUUUCCUAAUUCCCCUGCUCAGACAGCAGCUUGGCAGACAGCGAGCUUUUGGCAGGUUCCUCGUGGUGGCUUCCUGGCUCCCAUUCCUCUUCCUCUCCACUUCUCACACCGUGAGGGGGAGCCACCUCUGAGUCACAGCUCCAGCAACACCUCCUUUCUGUUGGUCAGGAACAAGUGUGAUUAGGAAUUAGGGCUUGACUGAUAACACCCACCCCUGCUCUGCACAGGGGCAGGAGCAGCCGAGGAGCUGCCUGCAGCGCUGGGGCUCAGGGAUGGCACAAAGCAACUGGCACAGCAGCAGACACACAGCAGCAUCCCUACUGCCUUCGUGUGUAACAUCUGAUGGCCCUGGCGUUCACAGUUCUUAUGUUCUUGUCCUGAUUUUAAAGUCUAGACCAAAGGGAAGGGAAAUGGCUGAAUAUAAGAAAUGAUCCCAGUGAAAACCAAGGGCUUAAUAUGGAACAUGGCACAUGGAACAGCCGAGCUCUGGAGAUUCAUUGUCUCUGGGCUAAACUCUGAACUGCUGGUUCAUAAAUCAGCACUGAUGGUGAAUACAGGUUGUGGAAUAACGUAACAUGAGGGCAACAGCGGAAACAGAGUAAUAGAGAUAAAAGGCUGUUAUCAGGACUCUAUUUCUUCUCAUAUCUAUCCCCCAUCGAUGAGAGUCUGCAGAGACCCCCAGGUGAGUCCUGGUCUGGGGCAAUGGCCCCUUCUUGAGGUGGGCUCAGGGCUUCUCCUCUAAUUCCUAAUUUUAGAAGGCUACUUCAUAAGCUUAUAGGAAAGGGAACUGUGUGUGCCGGAAUAUGUGCCCAGUUCUACUGAGUCCAAGAGGAAAUUUGUUUUUUCCUGAGAGCUUUCUUAUCAAAUCUGCUGCAUAUCAAACCCAAAAUAGCUUGUGAGGCUGCUGGUCAGAGCAGCUUCCCCCAGCUUCGAGGGAUUGUUCAGGAGCUUUGCAGUCUGAGCAUGCCAAGGUACUGCGGCACGGCUGCUAGCGCCCGUUUCUUUUGGAGCAGACUUCGCAAGGUGGUGCAGAAAAGGUUUUGUUUCUUAAUGGUUGUACCCUCUAUGGUCCCCAACUGCCUUGCUGGAACAAGGAAAAUCACAAUGCAGAAGCAGUUUAGGGUAAACCCAGGCUUGUCUCAUUUCUCUCUUAUGCCUCAGUCUGACCAGAGCCAUCUGUCUUCCUGCUUCAUAGAGGCUGUGACAUUGCAGUGGGAACUGUCGUGGAGUUUUGCUCUCAGCGUUGAAGAAAAUCCACGUCCUGAAAGAAAGGCAGUAGCUGUGUUAUGCAAGGUCCAGGGACGUGGAAAUCCCUUGAAAGUGAAAGCGUUGCCUUGAAAUGAUCACACUCAGAGCCUUGCACACAAACACCUCCAGAACACACAAAGAUACUUAUUUUGCUGAUCACCAGUGUGGUGGAAAUGCUGAGUCAUGUCCUGAAGCAGUGAUUGAGCACCUGGUGGGAAGGCAGGGCCAACCAGAGCAGCUCAGGUGCAUGCAAUGCAGCCAAAUGACGGGAAGGGAUGGAGCCCAGACCUCAUUUAAGGGUUGGCAGUGAAGGUGAGGGCAUCUUGCUGGAGAUUCCUGCAUACUUGAGGUCUUCCAAAGCACGUGAAAGUGAAAGGCACCAUGUCCCACGACCACCCAGUCUCUUUGCCCACCACAGCCCAUUAUGGAAUGCCAGAACAAACACUCCUUAAACAAUAAAACCUCUCUGGCUGAUGCACGGCAGUGAGAUGCUGUGGGACACGGCAUAAGGCUGGGGCAGCAAAGCUCGCUCACCUGGGAGCCCAUGUCAGGAAGCAGCUGCCUUGUUGAACCCUCAAAGAGGCAAAUGGGAGGCAUAUGUGUACUGAGCAUAGAAACUGCUCUGCCAUGCCCUUCACUCAGCUGUACCACCUCACCCAUGCCCAUCUUCAGGAUGUUCUCCUACCCAUCUGAGUUUGCUGUCAGGACUACGGCAGAGCCCCAGAGAUCUGGAUUCCUUUAAAUGUAGGCAUUUUCCUGGAGUACAGUUUAAAAUUGUACUUCCUAUAGAUUAGAUUCACAAAUAUAAUGCUGCCUCGUGACCUCCAACCACCUUCAGAUGGUUUUCUCUCUAUAGGCAGUAUCUUCUGCAAUUCUACUGCAAAAUCUUUGACUCGCCUACUUUAUGCUGAUAUAUUUACUGAGCAAAAUAAAAAGCACACUGUGGCUGCUUAGUGUUGUCCUUAUUUCUUUGUGAAGAACGAGCUUAUUAUUACUUA